ensembl:lncRNA
CGGUAGCUUUCACUUUCAAAAGAGUGACAGGUGAAGAAUAUAAUCCCUUUUUCUUAUUUCAGGUUGGAGCCUAUGCAUGAUGUUUGGCGAAAGUAAGCCAUUUUAAAGAUAUUAGAAUCGUCUUUCAGUGACAGCAAAUAUAAAUACGUCAUUAAUAUGGCGCCAAAAGAGUUUAAAGUAUGAUCUUAUUUUGUUGUAAGGUUGCGCACCCGCCAGUGCAAUCGCACAAGAGAGAAGAACGCGAGCGAGCAAGGACGGAGCGAAUGAGCAGACUAUAUGUUUUUAGGUGGAACGUUGCCAAACGAGCCAGCUUGCUAUCUUUCAUGACUCAUUCUUUGAAAAUUAGGCAUAUUUUUUUUCUCUACUGGAUUUGAGGAAAACAUACUCCCAUGACAAAUCAGGACCUGGGGAAUACCACAUUGGAUUUGGACUAUUUUCGAAAUGCGACAUGGCUUUCAAAAUGAUAUUUGUUAGCUUACCUUGCUGUACCAUAGCUAGCGUACAGUAGAACCGACUUGCUGGAUGCGGCUAUCUUGCAAGCACGUUCGCUAGCUAGAGAAUUUGGAUUUAAGGAUGAUAUACUCCUAAAGUCAGCUAAAUGUAGCUAACUGCAUUUAGCUGAUACCUGCGAAUGCGGACAUCGCAGGUUUGUUGACUGUUAUGUUAUACUGUCGGAUAGACUAUCAUGGCGUAAAUUUGUCAAUUGGUACUUUUUAUUUUGACUCUUGGGAGAGCAUCUGACGUGCUGUCAACACCAUACAGCCUCGCAGGCAUAGUCCUGUCACCAACGUGAAUAGACAGGGGGCUAACUAACUAGCUCGCUAGCUAGGGGUAAGUUGGCUACACUGGAAUUUGACCACCGUGAAAUUCACUGUCGCUAGCUACAUGUGGUUAACUUAAAAUUAUAUCGUAAUUUCUCAUCAUCGCCCAUCGUCCAGAGUCGAGGACGUUUCGCAGCCCGACCCUGACUGCAAUCAAGAUAAAAAGAUGGAGAGGGAGACGAAGAGGAGAAAAUACUCCAGCAGUAGCAAUGACUCGGACACCACGGACACCACUGGCAGUCAAGUGACCUCCUGGUCCAAGUCCUCCAAGAACACAGGGACCAGCAGCACCUGGGUCAGACAGGUGCACAAUAAACCCUCUGAGGUGAGUGGCUGCCCACUCCAUAUUGUAUACAACUCACUGGCUGUGUCCCAAAUGGCACCCUAUAGUGCAUUACUUUUCACCAGGGCCCACAGUGUGACUGACUGACUGACUGACUGUCCGACCGACCGACUGACGAUUAUGUUGUGUGAG